GGGUCUUUUGUCGUUGCUGGUCAGAGCGUUGCGGUCCGUUCCUUGACACGGAAGAGGUCACUGGUUCAAACCCAGUAUCGCCCACCA
rnacentral:tRNA from 1 species